GACGAACGCUGGCGGCGUGCUUAACACAUGCAAGUCGAGCGGUAAGGCCCUUUCGGGGGUACACGAGCGGCGAACGGGUGAGUAACACGUGGGUGACCUGCCUUUAGCUCUGGGAUAAGCCUGGGAAACUGGGUCUAAUACCGGAUAUGACUCCAUGAUGCAUGUUGUGGGGUGGAAAGCCUUGUGCGGCUGGAGAUGGGCCCGCGGCCUAUCAGCUUGUUGGUGGGGUGAUGGCCUACCAAGGCGACGACGGGUAGCCGGCCUGAGAGGGCGACCGGCCACACUGGGACUGAGACACGGCCCAGACUCCUACGGGAGGCAGCAGUGGGGAAUCUUGCGCAAUGGGCGAAAGCCUGACGCAGCGACGCCGCGUGAGGAUGAC
rnacentral:rRNA from 1 species